AAUAAAGAGUGAUGGGACAUCAUGUCUGCAGCUGCUCUCAACUGGCUCAGGAACAAAACAACAGUACUAUGUAUAAGUAUACAGAUGGAACAAUAAGAUACAUGAGAAAAUGCAAACUCAUCUAAAGUGACAGAAAGCAGAGAUCACUGGUUGUCUGAGUGGGGAGGGACCGAGGAAGGAACCAGGAUUACACAGGGACACAAGGAAACUUUGGUCUUAGUUGUGAUGUGCGGGACAUAUGAUCUUCCUUACAGCAUGUAUGAUCUGUAGUCGCAGCAUGUGAACCCUCAGUUGCAGGACCUUUUAGCUGAGCAUGUGGGAUCUAGUUCCCUGAUCAGGAAUCAAACCCAGGCCCCACGCGUCAGGAGCUCAGAGUCUUAGCCACAGGACCACCAGGCUUCUCCUUCCCGUGAACACAUAGGAAAGCAUUUCACCAGUUACCAAACCAUGUGGGUUCUACCUCUUCACCACCUCAUUUUCUUCACCGAACUCAGGUCCUAGGUUUCCUUAACCCAGACUCCAGUCUCACCUCCUCUAAACAUCCUCCAAUUUCUGUCAAAUAACUUUCUAGAAAAAAAGUUCUUCUUUUCCUUAACCCUCAGUGGCUUCCUAGGACUCAGAAUAAAAACAAAGCUGCUCAAACAGACUCAACAUGCUACGAUUCUGCAUUUGCUUUCUCUUUUGCUUCAUCUCUCCUAACAUACCCUUCAACCAAAGAUGAUCACUCACCCACCAGCGAAAUAUUUUCUGAACUUUCCUGUUUCUGUUCUUGUCAUUUUCUCUCCACUCAGCAAAGAUACAAAUCCUACCCAUUCUUCAAAUGUCACCUUCUUCAGAAAGCCUAAAGCCUCUCAGACAGCAGAAAACUGCAUUUCCUUGGCUUCUACAGUGCUUUAAACCUCUAGCAAAGCACGUUUGCUAUGUGCUAUAGUACAUUCAUACAUAUUAUCUUCCCUGUCCUCAGGGAACUUUAUAGCUUAAAAAAGAAAAUAAUAUGGUUAACCAUUUGGACUAAAGCUUUCCAGAAUGUGCCAUCCCAAAAUGUGCCUCUUUGGCAUAUGGAUUAUUUUCAGCUAAAUGCAAUUGAAAACCAGCAGAUGCAGGAGACUCUUGAGAGUCCCUUGGACAGCAAGGGGAUCAAACCAGUCAGUCCUAAAGGAAAUCAACCCUGAAUAUUCAUUGGAAAGACUGAUGCUGAAGCUGAAGCUCCAGU